CCCAGCUAGCUAGUUCAUGCUUGUGGCUAGAAACUUCAGUGAGAAUUUGAAACUUGUCUGCCGAAGUCGGAACUUAUCGGACUACAAAAUCAACAGAUGUGCUUUAGCUGCCUGUCACCCUGGCCUGAUAUUAGCUACAGUAUCAAGUUACUUCCCUCUUAAGUUACUGCAGGACAGCAGUGCUCAGCAGGUGGGAAUCAGGAGCGAAGGACACACUGUGCCCCGUGUUGUUGUGUUGCCUGCUUGCAGGGCAAACGCUCCCCUUUGAGCAGCAGUACUGUGACAUCCAGAUUCUAGAUGGUGAACCAAUACUGCAAGUUAUUUCUCCCUCGCCCAUCAAAAUAAAGACUUUCUUUUACAAGUUUUAACUCGCACCAUGCUAUUGUUGCUGGCUAGCUAAGAACUGUUCGUCAGGACAAUUUACUGAACCAAAUCCAUUCGACAUACAUCAUCAAUUUGGGCACCAGGCAUGUCCAUAUAGCCUCUCCCCUUUAGCUUGGCAGCUGUUUUUAUGUUAACUCCGUUGUUUGCGCUCGACGAAAUUCUGAAACCGGACCAUGUUGUGGAUUCGUAUGACUGGAGGACUCAUUAACUAGCUGGCUACAACAACCUGGAGGUGGCAGAGUAUCUCCAGAAGCAAAGGGCUGACAUUAAUGCACAGGACAAAGGAUGCCUCAUCCAUUUGCACAAUGCUGCCUAAUACAGGGUCCGUCGACUUCGGCUUUUGAAGACGUUUUACAUGCUGUACGGUUUGUAAUAUGGUUUUAUAACAUAGACGAUGCAUACAGAAUUGACACUGAUCUGUUUCUGUCUGACCUGUCUUUGUGAUUGUCUCCACCCCCCUCCAGGUGUCGCCCAUCUUCCCUAUUAUCCCCUGUGUAUUUAUACACGUGUUCUCUGUUAAUCUGUUGCCAGUUUGUCAAGCCAACCAGCCGUUUUGCCUCAGCUCCUGCUUUUCCCAGUUUCUCCUUUUCUUUGACCCAUGCCUGUCCUGACUCGGAGGCCGCUGGCAAGUCAUUAGGUUAAAUCAUAUCCUCUCCCCCUCCUUUCCUCGCUGUCACUUGAGGGAAAAAUUGUAUUCACCUUAUUUGUUGGAUAUGUAACAAUUAUUUACUUAUGUUGUGUUUUAUGGUCUUCCCUCCACUCUAGCACCCUGCAGCUAGUCUGGGUGUUGAGGACAUGGGCUCUACUAGAGAUGGCUUGAAGAUGACAAUUGAUCUUGCACGUGGACAUUGCGGCCCUCCUGAUCAAGUUCAACAAGUGUGUGUGUGAACCCCACAUACAACUGGGCCUUCACCCCUCUCCACGAGGUGGCUCAGAAGGGACGUAAUCUGCUGUGUGCUCUACUGCUGGCCCACAGAACUGACCCUAUCAUGAAGAAGCAGGAGAGACAGACCACCUGACCUGGCCACGAUACCCAUCCUUUCUCUGCUAGUGCUAACAGUAGAUAAAUUAUUGUUACGUACACCUCUCCCUAGAGGGAACGCAACACCCUGCUACAACUCAACUCCCCAUGGAGUGAAAGGGGUAUGGGACUGUAGGUUUGAGUAGGAAUGACAAAGGCAGAGAAUGGUACCGUUUUACAGGGAAUGUAUUCAGUCACAUGGUCAUUUUUGGGAAAAGGGGCUGGAUGGAACCAAAGCGAAGAAAGUAAAUAUCAAAUCCCCCUCUCCUACCUUACCUGCCUACCCACUAGUUAACUUAGCACCACCUGAUGCGCUAACCAAAAUACAAGGGGUGGUCCGCCCAGGUCUUACCUAGUGUGCAAAGACAGUGAAUACGACGGGUUAUGUAUGCCCGCAGGCCUCUUGCCUAAGCACUCCCUAGGUGCCUUCCCCUUCCCCUUCCCCUUCCCCUUCCCCUUCCCCCCUGGGAACAAAUUAAACAGAAUAAUACAAACUACUUCACAACAAAAACUGAGAAAAAACUCAAGACAUUAAAGAAACGCUCUCUCUCUGAGCAACAAACUAACACAUAACAAUCAGCUCUCUCAGCAACAACUAACAGUACAUACCAAAUCUCUUUUUGAGAAACAACCAACAUAUGUUAUAACCCUCAGCUCUCUUCUGAGCAACAGAACACUGGCUUAUAUAGCUGCAGAAGGAGUCUAAUGAGAUAUACCUGUAUCCUGACGAGGGGGCGGGGUCAGCUCUCCAAUCAUCAUUGGGGCCGACCAAUCAGCUGCUUGUGGGAAUUUCAGGAAGCCAUCCUGCAACACACACAUACAAAACCACAACACAGAAACUGGGGAACGUAACAAAGAUGUUAAAUGAAAAGUGUUACUAUCAGUAUUAUAUGUUGAUUUUCAACAUAAACAAGAGCUGUCAUUAGUUUUUUGUUCAAAAUGGAAAAUGGUAGACAUAGUGAAUGUAUGCAUGUGUUAUAUUUUUCUAGUUACACAACUGUCUGACAAGGACGUAGUCUGUUCAUAAUAAUUCCCAUCAAAUAUAUUUUGACACACAUGGCUGGGGAAACCCCUUAUCACCCAGUAACUCUCCCUCUGACCACAUCCUCCUCCUUCCUCAGGCUGAUGAUAUCCGUACCCUGUUGAUGUACACAAUGCCCUCAGACGCAGAGAAGAGAGAUCACCAGUUCAUCAAACUGUCCAUUCUCGGGACAACAUACAUUGCUCGAUCAGUACAUACAUUGCUCGAUUGGUACUUGAUUGGCCCAUUUGCCACCUAGCCAAACAGACUGAUAUUUUAAUGCAGAAAUGACCUAUUGUAUUUUAACAUUUUGUGUGUAUUUCUUAGCUCGCAAGCUAGUGGCGGGCUGUUCUGAGGUUCAAGCAGUUUAAUUGUUUUUAAUAUCUGCUUAUAAUCAGUUAUCAGUUAAUACACAUGAAAAGAUUAGCUGUGGAAUUUUCCACUCCAUUAGGAUAUUAUUGUCUUGUAACUCAUGUGAAGUGGAGUGCCUCCUCCACCAGUCCUUUAGGGUUGCAAUGUUAAAUGUAAAACUCUAUUCUCUUAUAAGCUGAGGUGAACCAACAGACAGUAGACCAGCAGCAGUCAGUAUGUAACCUGACACAACUGGAGGUCAUGAUGGUAUUUGUUUAGAACAAGAAAGAAAACAAGUAGUUGGCUACUACGAUGCAGAAAACUAUAUAUUUACAGUGGCUCCAGUUCCAAACACAGUAGUUAAGUGCCACUGGAGGUCUUUAUGGUGUUGAAGAACUCUUGGAAGUGAUCCAGGCUGAGCUUGUGGGUGAGCUUGUUGUUCAGUAGGUGGAGGAGCUGGGCUGUACCAGGCUGUGGUUUGAGCUUGACGAGGCCCUCCCAGCGAGGACACGUAGUCUUAUGCCUCAAACAGGAAGGAGUAGAGUACACAGUAUUCAUCAUGGAAAUUACUUGGGUGCCAUAUAUACGGAACUGGGUGGAGUCUUAUGCAACUGUGUUGACUCCACAGAGCUAAUGUUUCAAUACAGAAGAAAACAAGGGAGGAGAACUAUUAAUUGCCUUAUCGCUUUACAACUUAGGCCCAUAACCUAUAGUUAAUUAUAUUGGUUUUGAGUACCACCUUGGCUCAUAUAUCCAGCAGGGCCCUUUCUGAAAUGAGAUGGGAUAAAACUAUUGGUUGUUUUAGCGGUGUAAUGGCUCAAACUGUAUUAUCCCCAGAUGUUCAUUUUGUUACAUGUAGGGCUAACAUAAUACAGAAUAAUUGAGUUGUUUAUUGCACCGCUCUCUGCUUGACACACUGCAAAGUGGGUCAACUAUUGUAUUCAUCACCUUUGAUUUGAUAUAUGAAAAUGUCUCAAUUUUUUUAUUUGUUUAGUUUUGUCAGGUGUACCUCAGUUGGUUGAACAUGUUGCUAGCAAUGCCAGAGUUGUGGGUUUGAGUCCGGCCUGGACAGUAUACCAGAUUUAGCUGGGCUUCUCCUCAAUUACUCUGCAGCGCCAGUCGAGGGCUUGCAGGUGGAGCAAGAUUAACAAAACACGGCUAUUGUGAACAAUGUGCUGGCCAUAUUUGUUUGAGCUUUGGGUGGGCACUGGAUUAGGCAUCCUCACAUAAAACAAAACACGAUAGCCCUGGCCUAUUCCUGCGUGACAGAGUUCAUCACACCCCGUUGGGAAAGUGUUUUUUAGAUGCCAUACACUAUUGUCUUUAACAGUUGUUAUAGAGGCAGCACAUAAUAGGCCAGGGCUUUAUGUAAGGAAUGAAUAUGAUUGAACCCAUUCUUACUCUGAUGCAGCACUUAUUGAAUGUUUUGAAUAGCAGGACAGAAAUCAAGUACCUCAUGCUGUACUCAUGUUGAAAAGACAGGUCAAAGAGAUCUCCUGGCAGGGGUUAGAAAGGAUGGUCCCCCUACAGGUACAGCAAACGCUAUGUUGGUUUGACUUCCCUGCAGUGAACAAUGCUCCCCCCCCCCAGUCCAGGUAAUGCCAAUGGCUUGUAUGUGACAGUUGUUUCAGUGGCUCUGACAAUACAUUAUAUUGAGCAUCUUAUAGAAUCCUUGAGUUGGUAUAUUAUACUACUUAUAUGAAUAUUUUUUAUCAAAUGCUGUCUAUCCCUUAGAAUCUACUAACAUGUUAUACAAGGCAACUUUACUGAUUAAUUGAUUGAUUAAUUGGGACAAGGCUCGAAUUUAAAAAGACAUGUCAACUUGUAUCUGCUUUAGAUUGGCACAUGUUGACUUUAGAGGAAGGUGGUUAGAUGGAUUCAGAUGCUAAACUUCUCCAAUACCGUAUUCAAAUAAGUCAAAUAAAUCUGAUUUGUGUUUAAAUUCAUUAAUUCAUUUGUUUUGGGUUAUAGAAUAUAUAAAUCAUGAAUUACCUUGAUCCAUGCCAGCAUGCAAUAACUUUACAUUUUGAAACGAGAGUCAUGCAAUUGCAUAGGACAGACUACAUCAUACAUCUGCAUCAUAACUGCACACACAUGCAAGUAAUUACCUUCCCUGGUGUAAAUCAAUACUGAAAAGUUGUUUCACUCAUGCAUGAAUUAGGCUUGCGUCUCAUGCACUAGGAGUAGACUGUGACCGUAUUUCCCAUCAUUAUUUCGGCACCUAGUAAAUUUUAGGUCUGUAGAGCGCUAACUUGAACAUUGAAAAUCUACAAUAGCAGCCAGUGUGUGGUAUUCAAUGACAUUCCAUGACUUUUGAAAAACAAAUAGCAUG